rnacentral:lncRNA from 1 species
AAUGAAUGUUGUAUGAUCAGGUGUCACAUGUCAUGUUCAAUACAGGAGCAGUAAAUGCAUGUUGUAUGAUCAGGUGUCACAUCUCAUGUUCAAUACAGGAGUAGUAAAUGCAUGUUGUAUGAUCAGGUGUCACAUGUCAUGUUCAGUACAAGAGUGGUAAAUGCAGGUUGUAUGAUCAGGUGUCACAUGUCAUGUUCAGUAAUGGAGUGGUAAAUGUAUGUGGUAUGAUCUGGUGUUACAUGUCAUGUUCAGUACAAGAGUGGUAAAUGAAUGUUGUAUAAUCAGGUGUCACAUGCCAUGUUCAGUACAGGAGUGGUAAAUGUAUGUUGUAUGAUCAGGUGUCACAUGCCAUGUUCAAUACAAGAGUGGUAAAUGAAUGUUGUAUGAUCAGGUGUCACAUGUCAUGUUCAGUACAAGAGGGGUUAAUAAAUGUUGUAUAAUCAGGUGUCACAUGUCAUGUUCAGUACUGGAGUGGUAAAUGUAUGUUGUAUGAUCAGGUGUCACAUGUCAUAUUCAGUACAAGAGCGGUAAAUGCAGAUUGUAUGAUCAGGUGUCACAUGUCAUGUUCAGUAAUGGAGAAGUAAAUGUAUGUGGUAUGAUCUGGUGUUAUAUGUCAUGUUCAGUACAAGAGUUGUAAAUGUAUGUUGUAUGAUCCGGUGUCAAAUGUCAUGUUCAGUACAGGAGUGGUUAAUGAAUGUUGUAUGAUCAGGUGUCACAUGUCAUGUUCAGUACUGGAGUAGUAAAUGAAUGUUGUAUGUCAGGUGUCACAUGUCAUGUUCAGUACUGGAGUGGCAAAUGUAUGUUGUAUGAUCAGGUGUCACAUGUCAUGUUCAGUACUGGAGUGGUAAAUGUAUGUUGUAUGAUCAGGUGUCACAUGUCAUAUUCAGUACAGGAGAGGUAAAUGUAUGUGGUAUGAUCUGGUGUUACAUGUCAUGUUCAGUACAAGAGUGGUAAAUGUAGGUUUUAUGAUCAGGUGUCAUAUGGUAUGUUCAGUACAGAAGUGGUUAAUGAAAGUUGUAUGAUCAUGUGUCACGUGACAUGUUUAGAACAGGAGUGGUUAAUGAAUGUUGUAUGUCAGGUGUCACAUGUCAUGUUCAGUACAAGAGUGGUAAAUGUAGGUUUUAUGAUCAGGUGUCACAUGUUAUGUUCAGUACAGAAGUGGUUAAUAAAUGUUGUAUGAUCUGGUGCUACAUGUCAUGUGCAUUACAGGAGUGGUAAAUGAAUGUUGUAUGAUCAGGUAUCACAUGUCAUGUUUAGUACAGGAGUGGUAAAUUCAUGUUGUAUAAUCAGGUGUUACAUGUCAUGUUCAGUACAGGAGUGGUAUAUGUAUGUUGUAUGAUCAGGUGUUUCAUGUCAUGUUCAGUUCUGGAGUGGUAAAUGAAUGUUGUAUAAUCAGGUGUCACAUGUCAUGUUCAGUACUGGAAUGGGUAAACUGGAAUGGGUAAUGAAUGCUGCAUGUCACAUGUCAUGUUCAAUACAAGAGUGGUAAAUGUAUGUGGUAUAAUCAGGGGUCACAUGUCAUAUUCAGUUCAAGAGUGGUAAAUGCAGGUUUUAUGAUCAGGUGUCACAUGUCAUAUUCAGUAC